rnacentral:sRNA from 1 species
AAAAAUAAUUGUAAAAUAAGAUUUAAGUCUAUUUGUUGUUUAUCUAAAAAAUACAUCUAAAUAAUCAAUUGAAAUAAUUAGGGUAUUUUGUCAUUUUUUGUUUUGGACUGAAUCAUCUCCAUCCAAAUAAUCCAAUUUAGUUCAGCCAAAUGAGUUUCAAAAUUAAGUCUAAAUUUUAAAACUCAUCCAGAUGAUUCAUUUGGAUGGAUCAUCUGAAUGAACCGUUUUUGGCAUCAAACGAACAUCAAAACUCAUCUCCAUCCAGAUGAUCCAUCUGACUGGUGAAACGAACAUGGCCUUACUCGACCUAGCAGCAUUGGGUA